rnacentral:rRNA from 1 species
UACAGAGGGGGCGAGCGUUGUUCGGAAUUACUGGGCGUAAAGGGCGCGUAGGCGGCCUGCUAAGUCGAACGUGAAAUCCCUGGGCUCAACCCAGGAACUGCGUCCGAUACUGGUUGGCUUGAAUCCGGGAGAGGGAUGUGGAAUUCCAGGUGUAGCGGUGAAAUGCGUAGAUAUCUGGAGGAACACCGGUGGCGAAGGCGGCAUCCUGGACCAAUUCUGACGCUGAGGAGCGAAAGCCAGGGGAGCAAACGGG